AUUGAACGCCGGCGGCAGGCUUAACACAUGCAAGUCGAGCGGGGGAAGGUAGCUUGCUACCGGACCUAGCGGCGGACGGGUGAGUAAUGCUUAGGAAUCUGCCUAUUAGUGGGGGACAACAUCUCGAAAGGGAUGCUAAUACCGCAUACGUCCUACGGGAGAAAGCAGGGGAUCUUCGGACCUUGCGCUACUAGAUGAGCCUAAGUCGGAUUAGCUAGUUGGUGGGGUAAAGGCCUACCAAGGCGACGAUCUGUAGCGGGUCUGAGAGGAUGAUCCGCCACACUGGGACUGAGACACGGCCCAGACUCCUACGGGAGGCAGCAGUGGGGAAUAUUGGACAAUGGGGGGAACCCUGAUCCAGCCAUGCCGCGUGUGUGAGGAAGGCCUUAUGGUUGUAAAGCACUUUAAGCGAGGAGGAGGCUACUUUAGUUAAUACCUAGAGAUAGUGGACGUUACUCGCAGAAUAAGCACCGGCUAACUCUGUGCCAGCCGCCGCGGUAA
rnacentral:rRNA from 1 species